rnacentral:rRNA from 1 species
UAGGGAAUCUUCCGCAAUGGGCGAAAGCCUGACGGAGCAACGCCGCGUGAGUGAUGAAGGUCUUCGGAUCGUAAAACUCUGUUAUUAGGGAAGAACAAAUGUGUAAGUAACUAUGCACGUCUUGACGGUACCUAAUCAGAAAGCCACGGCUAACUACGUGCCAGCAGCCGCGGUAAUACGUAGGUGGCAAGCGUUAUCCGGAAUUAUUGGGCGUAAAGCGCGCGUAGGCGGUUUUUAAAGUCUGAUGUGAAAGCCCACGGCUCAACCGUGGAGGGUCAUUGGAAACUGGAAAACUUGAGUGCAGAAGAGGAAAGUGGAAUUCCAUGUGUAGCGGUGAAAUGCGCAGAGAUAUGGAGGAACACCAGUGGCGAAGGCGACUUUCUGGUCUGUAACUGACGCUGAUGUGCGAAAGCGUGGGGAUCAAACAGG